UGAGGUGUAACUUAGUGGCAAAGUAUUUGCCUAGCAUGUACAAGGCCCUGGGUUCAAUUCCCAGUACUGCAG
rnacentral:tRNA from 1 species